UGAGAAAGUUUGUAGACUGUAUCGUGGCAGCACGCUGACUCGUUUACAUAUUGUUUUAUGUAAAGGUGGACUUAUCGAAAUGUUUUAAUGUGUUUGAAUUUAAUGAAAACAGGUAAUACUAUAUGUAUAAUAUGAUACAGUACUCGAAGAACGGCUCAACACUUAUCACUGCUUUCAAGAACCAUAUAUAGGCAGUCAUUUGUUAUCCACGUCAUACAUUAGAAAGCAUACAGUACAUUGACGAUCGAAUUUUCGUCUAGAUUAAUAGCUUAUAUUAUACCUACACGUUUGUCAUUAAAACAGUGAGCAGUUACUUGCAUUAGUUAAGUAUUAAAAAAAAUUGCAAGAUGGACGAAUUGUGGAAAGCUAUAAGGGAAUCGCUAAGAAAUCCUGAUUUAACCACCUGCAAUUUAGGUACUGCAAGGGUAUAUGAUCCAGCAACGAACUUACUACCGGAAACGUCACACUCCAAUGUGGUAGCAGUAAGCACAACUGAAACGGAGUCCCAAAAAAAAAAGACACCGGCGGAAGAUCAAAAUGAGGCGGCGAAUCCGGUC